rnacentral:rRNA from 1 species
UACGUAGGAGGCGAGCGUUGUCCGGAAUUACUGGGUGUAAAGCGCGCGUAGGUGGGAGGCCAAGUCUGUGGUGAAAGCGCCCGGCUCAACUGGGCAGAGUCCAUGGAAACUGGUCACCUGGAGGACGGUAGAGGCGAGUGGAAUUCCCGGUGUAGUGGUGAAAUGCGUAGAGAUCGGGAGGAACACCAGUGGCGAAGGCGGGUUACUGGGCUGAUACUGACGCUGAUGCGCGAAAGCCAGGGGAGCAAACGGG